rnacentral:misc_RNA from 1 species
GCAAACUUGGUCAUUUAGAGGAAGUAAAAGUCGUAACAAGGUUUCCGUAGGUGAACCUGCGGAAGGAUCAUUAAUGAAUUUGUCUUCGGACAUUCUCUCAUACACUUGUGAACUUACACUGUUGCUUGGUGGAGAUGCGGUCCAGAAAUGGAUGCGCGCCACCGAGAUUUUUUCACCCAUUUUUAUGUCUGAACAAAACAAAAAAUAAAACAAAACUUUCAACAAUGGAUCUCUUGGCUCUGGCAUCGAUGAAGAACGCAGC